rnacentral:lncRNA from 1 species
GUAUAGAUCCCCAAUCUCAAGCAGUGUGCUUUGCCCUGAGUUCAAUAAAUAUUUGCCCAACUGGAAUUUUGGAUUACUAAUCACUGCUUAAUGGGCAGUGGUCUUACCUAUAUGCUUCCAGAUAUUUCCCUCUGGAUAGACAUGUAUAUUUUGUUACAAUAAUUCCUGCACCUCAAAAAUCUGUGUCCCCACCAAAUCUUGUGUCCCUAUAAUCCCCAAUGUUGGAGGUGGGGCCUGGUGGAAGGUUACUGGAUCAUGGGGGUGGAUCCUUC